CUGGAGCAAGAAGAUCUCAGGCUGUGAGUCUGCAAAGGGAAGCCCUUUCUGUUGUCUGAAAGAAAAGAAAUCGCUUCCCUUUGGAGUGUUACGGUUUGAGAAAAGCAGCGUUGAAGUUG